UACGUAGGGUCCGAGCGUUGUCCGGAAUUACUGGGCGUAAAGCGCGCGCAGGCGGCUCGCUAGGUGUCACGUGAAAGCCCCGGGCUCAACCCGGGAGGGUCGUGGCAAACCGGCGGGCUUGAGGCCGGUAGAGGUGGGUGGAACUCCUGGUGGAGUGGUGAAAUGCGUAGAGAUCAGGAAGAACACCCGUGGCGAAGGCGGCCCACUGGGCCGGUACUGACGCUGAGGCACGAAAGCGUGGGGAUCAAACAGG
rnacentral:rRNA from 1 species